GAUGAUGAGAGACAAAGCAGAAUUUUAAAUAUAUAAAAUUCAGAUUUUUGUGAAGUGAAUCUCUAUCACUUUAUUACAAAACAUAAAAAAAAAGAAUUAUUAUUUCACAAAUACGCACAAAUUUUCAUUAGAAUCAGGAUUAAACGAAUUUUGUUUCUGCGAGAUGGGAAAAUUCGAAUGUUUUUAUUAACCACGACAAAGGGAAAAAUCACAAGGCAGAAAAAGAGGAAGGGGUGGAAGAAUGAAAAAAGAAAGCGGCGCAAAGUCGAGUGCGACUCGAUCAAGACAAAGAAGCGGUGGCUCGAGAGUAACGUUGGCGCGAUAAAGGGAUCGUACAUCGCUGGCGAGAUAAUGUUCCCUAUUCUCUCGAAACGAGUUUCGCAUAUCUUUCGACUGCAUUUUUCUACGAGGUGUCGUUCCGACGAAUAGAAACGCGCAUCGACGCGUAAAACGACACUGACAAGUAAGGGUUCUCGUUAAUUGACACGGAAUACACGAAGAGCGAGAAUCAGUGGAGGCGGAUGGGAUAUUUCGAGAAUUGUUACUUUUUUGUCGUUUCCAAGUUGAAUUUUUUCAAAGUCAGUAAAUCGGGAGAAAAAUUGGAAAAAAUUUCUUAGAAUUGUGAUAAUUAUGAAGUAAAAAGAAAAAAAAAAGAAAAAAGGUUUACGUUCUUGUUUUUGGUAAUAAUUGAUCAACAAUAAAAUAACACGGAGUUUAUUGAAGUAAUCCCAGAAAUUGAGAAGAUAACUCGAUGAUAUUAUCACGGAGUGAUGGUCACAGAGACAGAUUAUUCGAUUCCACCGUUCACCCGUAUUGCAACUAUGGCCGGCAUAAUUGAAUUUCCUCGUUAAUUAAAAUGUCCACUAUUAUGCAGCAUGGUUCGAAACCUGGUUUCCGACGAGAAACCUGGGAUUUGUAUUAUCUACGUAAUAAUUAGAACGUCAUAAAUCCAGCCACGGUUAAUACCGUAAAUACGUAGAGAAGAUAUCCUGUGUAUUAUGUUUCGUAUUUUCGCAAAAUGAUUCCCGGGGAAAGGGAAUAUUUUUCGAAUAUUUCCCACUUCUUACGAAUUCACGUUGAUAAGAUCGAUCCAGUAUAUAGGCUGGACUGGAUUGACGGGUUGCACGCGACGAUAACGUUUUUCGAUAACGUUAAACGUUGUCGUGUCAGUGGCUUUUGUUCUUCCCCCUCCACUCUUCACGCUUUUUCCCUUUUUUAUCGACGGUUCACCGCACGAUCUGUCGCCACCAAUUUCUCGUCGAGUCAUUUCCAAAUCGGUGAAACGCCUACCGCGCUCGCGUCCUUACCGUCGGUCGAUAACACGAUCGGACGUAUAAACACAAACUUUCCUCGAAACGCGAAAGAUAGUUGAAAUUCGAGUUAUCUCGAUGAAACAGAAUCACCGAGGUGAUGUAACCCGGGGUUAGAGAGGAGACAGGGCGUAGCGAUCUUUCGUGGAAAGGGGAAAUCGAAGGGAAGGAAGAGAGUGAAUAACAGGGAGACGAGCGAGCGGAUUUCUUUCGAGUGUGCCUUUAAAUCCAGCCACCGGAUAGCGGAGAGAGGGCCGGAGGACUAGACGGACGAGUGGAGGUAAAGCGGCACAUAACAGCGAAGGGUGAAGUGGAUGAGAGCUUCGGAAGGACUGAAGCUCUCGACGGGGUUGAACUUUCAAAUUCCAUCGCAAACAUCUCACCCCCGAUGAACGGAGCCAGCCGCGGGAAUAGGGAUGAACGAUCAUUAUAGACUCGAAUAGGAGGGACCUUUUCGGGUUAGCGAUGGGCGAUUCCCUACUUGGUUUUCAAACAAUUUUCUUCCAUACAAUGGUUAAUAUCGCCUCGACGAGCCUCUCGUCGUACGUACGAAUUUGAAUCGAGUCAAUUUUCGACCUCUUCAGAGACUUCACGCUAUACGUGUGCGUUUAGUUUAUUUUUUUUUUUAAUUAAAAUUAUUUUAAGUGCGAAAUAAAAGAAUUAAAAUUUGUCGAACAAUUGUUCAUUACGGAAUCUUUUAAUGAUAAAGAUAUAAAAAUUUGAAACAUUUGGUGAUAUUUUAUUUUAUUUGACAAUCACUGCUUUGAAAAUAUUUUCAACAAUGCUUUUGACGGCUUAUGGCAUCCCUGAAGAGGUUAAUGUUUCAAAAACGCGUUUGAUAAAAAAUACGAUCGAGGGCUUUUUUUUAAAUUUUGAAAAAAGAGGAUCGAUUUGAAAUAUUUGUUAAUCGGUUUAUCGAUUUAAUGAUCACGGUUAUUUACGACUAAAAAUUAUCAAUUUAUUCAAAAGAUUAUCUUUUGUUUUAAAUUCACUUAUUCGUAGAACAUACACGAUAAAUUUUUUAUCAAAUAAUUUUCAAUAAUUUCAUAAUUAUUUCGUAUUUUUGUAAUUUAUAUUUCAACGAUUAAAAGUAUAUUAUACAUUUCGUUUAUCAUUGGAUCUUCCUAUAUUCAAUCGAAAGUAAAGUUAGAAUUUUAUCAUCAGAAAAAAAUUCAUCCUGUUUUUUGAUUUUAUUGAAACUUCGUACAAUAGAUUAUAUUCGUGGAAUAUUAUAUAAUUUUUCCUCUCUUCGAGUGAUCAAUUUCACCUAGAGCAAAAUUUUAAAUUAUAAAAUAUUUAGUUUUUACACAGGACAGAGUGCUUUAUCAUUUUACAUUUAAAAUCACUCUUUAUUCGAUUUCCCUCAUUCAAAGAAAUUUCCAAAGUCCAGACAAAAAUGAUGUAUAAUUCAUUAUGCUCUAUAUAAAUGCAUAAUAAUAAACUUUCGAUAAAAUUAAAACUUUCGAAUAAAUGGAAUUUCUUUGUACCUAUUAAAAUAGAAUAU